rnacentral:lncRNA from 1 species
CCCUAUUUAUAACAAUGAGAGCCUUGCCACUGACUUCAGUAGGAUCACGAUUUUACCCCUAAGGUGCAGUUGUGCUUUCCUAGGAAAGCUAAUGUAUAAAAUACAGCCUCUGCCAGCACAUCAUCGAUGCAAUAGCAUAGAAAGAGGAUAACAUUGAAUGACAUCCAUAGCCAAUAAUAGCUGCUGUGAGCAUCCCGUCGAGCAGUGUGUUAAUGUUAGUCACCAGCUUCCUGGGUUUGUAUAAGAUUAUUUUCUUCAUAUUUGAAUGAGGUAGACUCAGGAUGAAUUGGGGUUCUCUGUGGAACUGUGCUUAGCAUUUGUUUUUUGUAAUUUUUUUAAACUCAUCAAAGAAUGUCAGAUGUGGUAAAGCUGCUUUGAUUUUUAUUAACGAAGCACACCAUUUAUAACUAAGUAAGUUUUUUAAGCCCUUUGAGGCACUGUUUAAUUUUUCAGCUCUCUUUUUUUUUGAUUCUAUCUAGUUCUGCAUUAGCUUCCUAUCCUCAGGUCUUACCUUUUGUAAAGCAGAUGUUGUCGUCCAUGCAUCUCUGGGAGGUAUUUUGUACCUCAUGAAAGAAGGAAAAAGAGCCUUGAUUCGGAUCCCAGUCUUCACUGACCAGCUGUAGGCAGUGUGCUGUGGACAUCAGCAACAUUACAGCGGGUCUUUGGCCAGUAUCUUGCCUACAAGUCAAGGAUUGUUGCUCCAUAUCUGCCAGCCAAUAUCUUUAACAGUAUGCCCUGAAAUGCCUUAUGGAUUCAAGCUGUCCCUUAAUCAGUGUUGCAGAGGAUGCAGUUUUGAUCUUUUUCUCUAGUACGUGAACUAUGAUACUAGAUUCAUUCUGGCAUACAUCUGUCAGACCAGACUAAAAGCAUUCAGUUUGAGACACUUCAUUACCAGAAUGGGGCCAACAAAUCGGAGACAAGCUAAAAAAGGAGGUUUCAAAUAUAACGUACAUGGAAAAUAGAGGA